GAUGAAGAACGCAGCGAAAUGCGAUACGUAGUGUGAAUUGCAGAAUUCAGUGAAUCAUCGAAUCUUUGAACGCACAUUGCACCUCUCGGUAUUCCGGGAGGUAUGCCUGUUCGAGCGUCAUUUGUACCCUCAAGCUCUGCUUGGUGUUGGGUGUUUGUUCCGCCUCUGUGUGUGAACUCGCCUCAAAACAAUUGGCAGCCGGCGUACUUGUUUCGGAGCGCAGCACAUUUUGCGAUCCAGAUCAACGUACAGCGGCAUCCAAGAAGCCUUAUUUAACGCUCUUGACCUCGGAUCAGGUAGGGAUACCCGCUGAACUUAAGCAUAUUAAUAAGCGGAGGA
rnacentral:misc_RNA from 1 species